rnacentral:rRNA from 1 species
GACGAACGCUGGCGGCGUGCUUAACACAUGCAAGUCGAACGGAAAGGCCCUGCUUUUGUGGGGUGCUCGAGUGGCGAACGGGUGAGUAACACGUGAGUAACCUGCCCUUGACUUUGGGAUAACUUCAGGAAACUGGGGCUAAUACCGGAUAGGAGCUCCUGCUGCAUGGUGGGGGUUGGAAAGUUUCGGCGGUUGGGGAUGGACUCGCGGCUUAUCAGCUUGUUGGUGGGGUAGUGGCUUACCAAGGCUUUGACGGGUAGCCGGCCUGAGAGGGUGACCGGCCACAUUGGGACUGAGAUACGGCGCAGACGCCUACGGGGGGCAGCAGUGGGGAAUAUUGCACAAUGGGCGGAAGCCUGAUGCAGCAACGCCGCGUGCGGGAUGACGGCCUUCGGGUUGUAAACCGCUUUCGCCUGUGACGAAGCGUGAGUGACGGUAAUGGGUAAAGAAGCACCGGCUAACUACGUG